UUCGGAGACAGGUGCUGCAUGGCUGUCGUCAGCUCGUGUCGUGAGAUGUUGGGUUAAGUCCCGCAACGAGCGCAACCCUUGUCUUUAGUUGCCAUCAUUAAGUUGGGCACUCUAAAGAGACUGCCGGUGUCAGACCGGAGGAAGGUGGGAUGACGUCAAAUCAUCAUGCCCCUUAUGACCUGGGCUACACACGUGCUACAAUGGUUGGUACAACGAGUUGCGAGUCGGUGACGGCGAGCUAAUCUCUUAAAGCCAAUCUCAGUUCGGAUUGUAGGCUGCAACUCGCCUACAUGAAGUCGGAAUCGCUAGUAAUCGCGGAUCAGCACGCCGCGGUGAAUACGUUCCCGGGCCUU
rnacentral:rRNA from 1 species